UACGUAGGUGGCAAGCGUUGUCCGGAUUUAUUGGGCGUAAAGAGCUCGUAGGCGGUCUGUCGCGUCGGCUGUGAAAUCCCGGGGCUCAACCCCGGGCCUGCAGUCGAUACGGGCAGACUAGAGUGCGGUAGGGGAGACUGGAAUUCCUGGUGUAGCGGUGAAAUGCGCAGAUAUCAGGAGGAACACCGGUGGCGAAGGCGGGUCUCUGGGCCGUAACUGACGCUGAGGAGCGAAAGCGUGGGGAGCAAACAGG
rnacentral:rRNA from 1 species